rnacentral:rRNA from 1 species
UACGGAGGGGGCUAGCGUUGUUCGGAAUUACUGGGCGUAAAGCGCACGUAGGCGGCUUUGUAAGUUAGAGGUGAAAGCCCAGGGCUUAACCCUGGAAUUGCCUUUAAGACUGCAUCGCUUGAAUUGUGGAGAGGUGAGUGGAAUUCCGAGUGUAGAGGUGAAAUUCGUAGAUAUUCGGAAGAACACCAGUGGCGAAGGCGACUCACUGGACACAUAUUGACGCUGAGG